GAAAUGCGAUAAUUAAUGUGAAUUGCAGAAUUCAGUGAAUCAUCGAGUCUUUGAACGCACACUGCGCCCCCUGGUAUUCCGGGGGGCAUGCCUGUCCGAGCGUCAUUGCUGCCCUCAAGCACGGCUUGUGUGUUGGGCUUCCGUCCCUGGCAACGGGGACGGGCCCAAAAGGCAGUGGCGGCACCAUGUCUGGUCCUCGAGCGUAUGGGGCUUUGUCACCCGCUCCCGUAGGUCCAGCUGGCAGCUAGCCUCGCAACCAAUCUUUUUAACCAGGUUGACCUCGGAUCAGGUAGGGAUACCCGCUGAACUUAAGC
rnacentral:misc_RNA from 1 species